rnacentral:rRNA from 1 species
GUCGAACGCGUUGGSCCAAUUGAUUGAYGGUGCUUGCACCUGAUUGAUUUUGGUCGCCAACGAGUGGCGGACGGGUGAGUAACACGUAGGUAACCUGCCCAGAAGCGGGGGACAACAUUUGGAAACAGAUGCUAAUACCGCAUAACARCGUUGUUCGCAUGAACAACRCUUAAAAGAUGGCUUCUCGCUAUCACUUCUGGAUGGACCUGCGGUGCAUUAGCUUGUUGGUGGGGUAAYGGCCUACCAAGGCGAUGAUGCAUAGCCGAGUUGAGAGACUGAUCGGCCACAAUGGGACUGAGACACGGCCCAUACUCCUACGGGAGGCAGCAGUAGGGAAUCUUCCACAAUGGGCGCAAGCCUGAUGGAGCAACACCGCGUGAGUGAAGAAGGGUUUCGGCUCGUAAAGCUCUGUUGUUAAAGAAGAACACGUAUGAGAGUAACUGUUCAUACGUUGACGGUAUUUAACCAGAAAGUCACGGCUAACUACGUGCCAGCAGCCG